UCCAAUUAGUCUUGUUAUUCAAAUUACUCUGCCGAAGUCAGAGCCCGGCGCACACAAAGACUUAACUCAAACCAGAUCGGAUCCGCUGCGGUGGCAAAAGCUCAGAGCUGGAGCAAAGGUGUGCAGGAAGGGGUUAAGAGUGUGAAACCCUUUUGCUGGGUGAGGUGGGGGCCUGAAAGCUUUUAACCCUUAAAGGGAUGGACCUUCCUUAGUGCACAGCCCUGCGGGAUGAACACCCAGGAUGAGAACUGGCAGACUCGAGGCAUGUGUGGAAAACGAGAAGUGGAGAGAUAGGGAGGAUCCUGCACAGCUGCACAAAGAGGGAUGGAGACCUGUGGGGUGGGCUGGAGGGGGUGACACCCCUCCCUAUUGCACCCAGGGGCCCAAAGAGAGCCAGGAGGAGAGAGGGGCACCAGGGCUGGCCUGUCCCUGAGAAAUACCAGUGUCAAACCUGGAUUAUGGGGAAUGGGCUGCUGUGGAGAUGCUGCUGAAUCUUGGUGAAGUGGGGUGAGCCCUGCACACGGGGACUUAUUGUGUGUGUAGGGAGUGGGGAAGGGAGCAGAGUCUGUGCUGUGUGUGUGAGAGAGGACACAUGUCCCCUGUCUGAGGAUUCAUCAAAGUGUGACCAGUGCCGGCAUGACUUGGAGAGUGGGAGGAGAUGGGUCAUGGGGAUCUGUGUGACAGCAGCAUGGGGUGUUCUGGCCCCAUCACCAGGAAGGGGUGAGCGAUGCCAGCGCUGAGGCUGCACCCUGCUGGGCAGCAGGGGGGCCCUGGCUCUCCAGGCUGAAAUUAGGAGCCAGGUUCCAGGCAUCUUCUGGAGGAUGAUGUCAAGAAGGUUCACAGGAUAGAAAUGUGGACUCAAGUCUGAAGCAAGCUGCUACUGUAGCAGUGAACAGCCAGUGAUUAAUCUCCUUUUUCUUCAACUCACUUAUCCUUAGGGAGCCUGUUCCUUAUUGAUUUGGGAAAUCACUGGCCAGAUUUAUGUCUCUUCUGCUGCCUCGGGCCAGGAGAGCACUUCCUGCCCAAGAGAUGGAUAACCCUAGGAUGAGGAUUUUCAGCUGAUGCCGUGUGAAAGCCAAUCAUGCCUUUGCAAAAAGAGACAUCAGAAGGCUGAGUGCAUGUGAUGGUGAUGCCAGAGGGGCUGACAUUUUCCCAUAACCACUGGCCAACCCAAGGAGUUAUUGGUCAAGAACCAUCCCAGGUGGUGGGAUGGAGGAGGUCCAAAGAUGGAGCAUCUAUUAGGAUCAGGGUGCUACUUGCCCUCCAGCACAGCCACCAACUACCAGUCCUCAGGAAUAUGAUGUGUGCUGUGUUCACCAAGAGAAUGUCACCAAGGGUUUGGUGUGCUGAAAUAGGAGUUUUUUAUAGUUGGUUUUCUUCUUUUUACAGGUUUUAGAGUACCUCUGUACCUCUGGGGUCUGAUGAUAGCCAGCUCAGUGAGAAGCAGUUUGAAGAGAGAUUUCAAUUUUCAUUAUUGGGAUGGAUGAGCAGCCUCUGGUGCUUGCAGGGGACUAUCUGGUCCCAUCUCUGUGGUGAUGUGCCUCCUGAGGAUGCUUUAAAGAAAGGUUUUCUGGGGAAUAACUCCGUAGCCCCUGAGGCAGGAGCACUGCCUGGCAGCUCAGACCUGGCCAUUACUAUCCCCCAGCCCAGCAGCAACCAGGUUGUCAUGGGGAUGGGGUGACUCCACACACUGGGGUGUGAUGUUCCUGGGGGACUGUCUGAAACACUGAUGGAGAUUUUGGCCUGUUUGAACAUCCCUGGUGUUUGCUUUGGAUGCUGCUGCUGCUGCUAAAUGAGGCAUUACAGGAAACACUAUGGGAUUUUGCACUUUCCCCUGUCUCCUUUGGGUCUGGAAGAGGGCUCUGGCUGAGGACACAGGCAUGGCCAAUAUCCCCUCUCCCCAAAUUGGGAUAGUGAUGGGGAGACAGCCCACAAGGCUGCCCUGAUGGGGCAGGAAAGAAUGGGGCUGUAUGUGCUGCAAGGGUUAGAGACCAAGAAGGCUUCUCUGUCCCCUCCCAAAACCUCCCAGAGUGGCAAAGCCGAGGAGAAAAGGACAAGCCCCAGGCAGAGACUCACAGGUCUUUGCUAGUGAAGUGCUGAUAUCCUGACAGGCACAGUGUGUUUUUCCCCUAGAGCUUUGCCUUUUGGGAUUUGCCAUUUCUCCUGGGCUUCCUAGGAUGCUAUAGUCUCCUCCUGACAUUCUGGGUGUUUUUCCCAGGGCUACAAUGGGAUAACUGUGCUCUGGAGCUGGGAUGCCUCCCUGCUCUGGUGGGAGCAGGAACACAAUGUCUCAGGGUUUUGUUGAAUGUCAAUAAAAUGAAGCAAUUCUAACGCACGGGUGACUCCACACCACGAGCCUCCCUCUGCAUCAGUCCUCAGAGGAUAUGAAUUGCACUGCUUCCAGCUCCUGGCAGCCUCAGGUCUGCAGCUGAUGUAAGGGCAGGUUGUUGGGAUUUUCCAAGCUAAAUGCCACAGUUGUCUUUGUCUUCCUUUUUGCAGAUGCCUUCCCCCCAGAAAUGGGGGUCUGGCAGUGUUUCACCCACAGCUUCGGGGUCCCAGCAUCAUCCCAGGCUUGUUGAUUUUGGCACUGAGCAUCCCUUUGGGAAUAGGAACUGCCUGCCCAAAGGGGUGAUGGCCCAGAAAGGCCCCAGGAUGAGUUAUUGAUAUCACAUUCAUCCCUGCAGGGAGCCAUGCUGUGUGCAGAUCCUGAGAAGAGAUCCAACAGGCCUGUGGGGAUGGACCCCCAGCCUGUAUCCAGGGAAUCUCCAUCCCAGUGGUGGAGCUGGAUGCCACCAGUGCCUCUGGGGAGGGAUGUCUGUGCCCUCCUGUGCUAGUACACACCCAGGCCUGGCAAGCAGGUCCUCACCAGCCCCACAGCUCUGGCAGAAGCACGUCCUGGCUUGGCAGGAGCCUCUUCCACCUGGUUUGGCUGUGCAAAUCCCUGUCACCCUCGAAAAAGCCAUCAGCAGCAGCUCCCUUGCAGCCCCCCUGCCAGACACAAACAUCCUCCAGCUUCUCUGAAGUGGCUUCCUGAGAACCCUCUCCAAGUGGUGGGAAGGCCCUUUGGCAUUGGUUCUUCAGGGCAAAACUUUUGGGCUUCCUGAGUGUCACCUUGGAGCCCCUGGAUGUGAGAAACCCCAGGGGAGUGUUGGGAGGCAGAGAGCCAAAUGUGUUGUUCCUGGCAGUGCUGGUGGUCAAGUCUUUGGCCUCCUAAAAGGGAGUGGUCCCACUGAAGCCAAGUUUGGGCUUUUUGCCUCUUUUUUCUUUUUUUUUUUUUAAUUUUUCUUUUUGGGAGGGAGCUUGUGCAGGUGCCAGCUGAGGAGCGCUGAAUGACCCUGGCUGGGGCAGGGGGCUGGCAUUGGAAAGAGGAAGGUUUCAGCACCACGAACGGUGGGGCAGCCUUGUGGAGACGCUAAGGGUCUGGCUAGGUCCUGGCCAUGCCUGGGAGCGGAUGAGGUGGCUGCUGCUGCGGCCGGGGAGCGCUGCCGGCUGCAGGGGGUCACGCUGGCCCCGCUGCCACCCCUCGGCAGCCGCUGUGGACGUGCAGGGCUCCACAGCCCUAACCUUUAGCGACCAGACAGAAUAACAAUGCCGGCCUGCUGGGGCAUAAUGGCCGGUGUUUGCUUGAGAUACAAAGGCACCGAGCUUUCACAUGAGCUAAUACUGAUAAGUUACUCUCACUCCGUGCCCCGCCUGCCAGACGCAGCGGGGCGGCAGCAGCCCCUUCCUCCCUUCCCCGAGCUGCUGGGACGUGCCCACCGAGCCUCCAGCCCAUGGUCCCCACUGCAGCAUCACCCCGUGCCCUCGGCGUGCUGUCCCCACUCAUCACCCAUCUGCACAGCCGUCCCCGUGGGGGCUGCUUCAAUCUCAUCCUGGCGUGUGGAGUGGGAGAUGCAGGGCGGAGAUCGGGGCUUGUGGGGUCCCUACCCCUGGGACUGCAUAGCAGUGUGGUUCCUUAGUUCCUGCCCUUCUGGAAAGUAUUUUUCCCACCUCCCUGGGAGCAUCAGAAGGGGUUUGAACUCACAGCACAUCCCUUGCCCCAUGUGCCCUGACCCACUCUGUUCCCCGGCCCUGCUGCCCACAAGCGCAGAAAGUGCAGGACAGCUCCUUUCCCAAGUUUCCUGAUGUGACCUGUGGAGCUUUAGUGUCAUCCACAGCCAGUUUGAGCACCUUUGGGAGGUUCAGUCCGCCACUGGAAGGCCCUCCACACUGAAAACUGAGGGAUAUAUUAUAAAAGAGAUUUGACCAUUACAACAAGCAGAACUACUGAGGAAGAGACUUGAAGGUAGCCAAAAGACAAAUCUAGUUGACCUCAAUUUAAUGAGUUGCAAGGCACUAACCCUGCUCCUUCCCUGGCUUCUCACCUCCUGCCUCCACUGCUUCCUUCACCUGCUUCUUGUUUGCCUGUCCCUCUUUGCUGGGGUCUAGUUCUCUCUUCCUUGACUGGACAAACAAAACCAAGGCAGACCUUGCCCCCUGCCUGGGGUGAGUUGCAGACGUUCCUCCGGGCAAUGAAAGUGAUGGGAACCCAUCAGUCCUGAUCCUGGGUGGCAUGUUUCCCAACCAGAGGUAUGGAGGGCUCAGGAGAAGACUGGAGAAGCUGAAGGACGGGUGGGACAAGACCACAUGUGUUGUGACACAGCAGAUGGUAUCUACUGUGGAGAGAGAUGGUUUUUAGCUUAUUUAUGGUAAUAAAUCUGUCACGGUCCCCUUUAUCCUGGCUCAUGUCCUCCGGCCAAGUGCCCAGAUGACUCCCAGUGCCUGAGAGAUGUCAAAAGGACACAGACUCAGGUUUAAUCCUGGGUGCUGCUGCUGCAAUCAAGAAAAUUCCAAGGGCGCUCAGAGGCUCCAGAACAUUCUCACAGCCCUGCUUUGCCUUUGAGCACAUGCUUGUGCCAUGUGGGUCUCUCCUGCAGACAACAGCAGGGAGGCAGAGGCAGAGCACCCUGCUGCCCUCCAUCCCUCUGUCACGGCCUGCAACCUGAAACUCUGUGAGAGUUGGGUUUGCAGGGGGCAUUUCCAUGUGCAGCAUCAGCUCACGCCGGGUGGGCUGCAGGAAGCGCCUGGAAGCACCAGAGGAGCUGCUCUGCUCCCAUCCAGGGUUCCCCUUGUUGAGUCAGCCUGGGGUGGCUCCAGCCCCUUGGCCAGUCACUGCUGAUUAACGCUGAUGUAAACGAGUGCCGGGCGGGCCCUGGCUGCUCGCUGAAACCGGGGGCAGAGGAGCCAAAGCCUUCGUAAGCGGGAGCUCCCGGCCAAGCAGCCGCAGCCGCGCGGUGCUCUCACCUCGGCCGAGGUGCUGCAACACGUUCCAGCCUCCAGUCGGGAAGCAGCUCCCAGUUACUGCCUGGGGGAAGAUGGUGAGAUAAUCCUGUGCUGUGGGAAAGCAAGCCAGGGCACCGGGCUGGGCCUGCUGCUACAGGACCCCAGGAAAUGAGAGUGCAGGGGAAAAAUCUGCUCAUGGACCUUUCCCUUUCAGAAAGGCCAUGAGAUGCCAUGGAGGGUCAGGGAAGCAGCAGUGAGGCCAUGGCUCCCUUCUGCUCAGCAGCCACGAGGAUGCUGUGGAUGGAAGAUGGAGCCAAAGGAUGAAGAAUGACGACUGUGGGGCCGGCGUCUUCCCCACCCUAAGUGAAUGGGCAGCAUGGAUGCCUGCUCAGAUGUCCCUGCCAAAAUAAAGACUAAACAGAGCCUUUCUUCAUCAGAACCCUGCCUGGAGACACCAGUUUGGGUCCCUUUGGAUCCUUCUUCCAUCUACUGAGGGCAUUCUCCAGGCAGACAGCUCAAAUGGGAUUGACUGGGGAUGCCAUGAGGACAAUUGAUUGAUCUCCAGAUUUUCUUCUGGUUGAAAUUCUUUGGCAAACACAGCCUGCAUUUGCAGGUAACACCAGCGUGACCAAACUACGUAUUCUCAGUCAGCCAGAGCCCGGGUCUGACUCUGCUAUAAAGCCUUGUGAGAGGUCUGUGGUCACAGAAAGAGGAGGCAAUAAAAGUUCCAGCUCUUGA